rnacentral:rRNA from 1 species
AUUGAACGCUGGCGGCAGGCCUAACACAUGCAAGUCGAACGAGUGGCGGACGGGUGAGUAAUGUCUGGGAAACUGCCCGAUUGAGGGGGCUAACUACUGGAAACGGUAGCUAAUACCGCAUACCAUCGGAUGUGCCCAGAUGGGAUUAGCUAGUCGGUCGGGUAACGGCUAACCUAGGCGACGCUCCCUAGCUGGUCUGAGAGGAUGACCAGCCAGACUGGAACUGAGACACGGUCCAGACUCCUACGGGAGGCAGCAGUGGGGAAUAUUGCACAAUGGGCGCAAGCCUGAUGCAGCCAUGCCGCGUGUAUGAAGAAGGCCUUCGGGUUGUAAAGUACUUUCAGCGAGGAGGCGUUACUCGCAGAAGAAGCACCGGCUAACUCCGUGCCAGCAGCCGCGGUAAUUC